UAGCUUAACUUAAAGAAUAAAAAAUUAAUACCCGAUCCCAUUUUGAAUUCGAAUGUAGUUUUAUUUCUAUUGAGUAUAUUACUAAUGUGAGAACCUUAAUUUGUUAAG
rnacentral:rRNA from 1 species